rnacentral:lncRNA from 1 species
CUCUUGACAUGACAGAGAGCCUGCCAAGAGCACCAAACUCAUUGAUCCCCGCUACUCUGAGAUCAUGAAGGGAAUGUCAAGAAGAUGUACCACCGAAAAUGAAAAAGGGCACUGAUCAAAGUGGAGAACAUAUUUAACGAGAACGAUGGAUGAAGAGGAGGGAAGAUACCUAUAGACCAACUACCAACGAGAUAUAAGGACAGUGCACGUGGCAGGGAAAGAAUUCGUAUAGUGGAGGUGGUCCCUGGAUCUGUGAAUGUUACCUUUAUGGCAAAAGAUGUGAUAAAGUUCAGGAUCUCGAGAGGAGGAGCUGAUCCUCAGUGGAUCCUAGAUGUGGUCACACGUAUCCUCAUGAGACAGACACACAAAGGAGAAGACACAGAGAGGAGGAGGCCAUGUGGCUACAGGAGAGGAGAGGGGAGGGAUGCGGCUACAAGCCACGGAGGGCCUGCAACCACUGGAAACUGCAAGAGUCAUUGUAGGUCUCAGGAAGGAAGGAGCAAUGAGAGGCUUGUGAAGGGAGGAAGCUCUGCGGAGCCCUCACGAGCAUCACGUGCCUUUGAGGAGUGCCGGACCAUGGAGUCUCAAAGGAAAUCUGCCUUUCUGGAGAGGAACAAACUCACAUUUAUUAAGUGCCAAUAAUGUGCAGGAACUCUACUAGUAACUUAAUAUGUUAUCAUUUUGUCUAAUUAGCAGGGAAUAGGAAGAGUUGAAUAAUGUCUUUGUUUAUGUAAUUUGGCUAUAAAGUAAAGCAAAAUUCUGCCGGGUGAAUGCAAUUUCCUAUUGACUUUCACAUCGCAUUGGACACCCUCCUUGUGGCCAUGGCUGCUCAGGUGAUCUCUCUUUCCUGGAAGUUUCACUUUUCACACAGGCAAUUAUCAUAGCAAAUUUGUGUCAUCUCAGUCAUAAUCAGGCCUAUUUGAAGGGAUGUUGUCAUUAACAGUUUAGUUCCAAAUACAUAUUUUCCCCUAAGUAGGUUGGAACUAACAUAGUGUUGUUGUUUCCAGAGCCAAAGACAAGAAGGCCACAUUUGUGUUUUAAGUCUUAGGAUCCUAAUUUCUUAAUUCCAUACAUUGGAUCCUUGCUGUCUGAGUUUCCACAGGGCCUAGGGAAGAGAUAGGACCCAAGCCGUCAUCAGGCUGUCCUUGCAGGCUUCUUGCAGAGUCGCUGGAAUACUUGAUUGUUUUUCAGUAUUUCAGCAGCUUCCUCUAUGAGGAUGUGUUCACCUCACCCACAGAAGCCCUUUUCAAAUGUUACUGAGAAGACUGAUAAGAAGAAGAAGCAUCCACUGAUGAGUUCUCGGAAAGAAAGCAUCCGAUUUAACUACAGGGCAAGAGCGCUGAGUCCCACAGGCCCGGCUGACAGCGAGGGAGCCAGGCGGCACCCGCUCUUCCCAGAGUGGUGCAGGAAAGAGGCGACCACAUGCAGAAUUCGGGUGCCCCUUGUAAGGGUUCUGGGAAACCCACGAAGACGCCGCAACCCUGAAGGAGGCCUCUGUCAGGGUCUGACGCAGCAGAGACCAGAAAGAACCCAUAGCUGGCGCAGUCAGACGUCCCUGCAAGACUUUCAAACAAAG